CCUACGGGUGGCAGCAGUGAGGAAUUUUGGUCAAUGGACGAGAGUCUGAACCAGCCAAGUAGCGUGAAGGAUGACUGCCCUAUGGGUUGUAAACUUCUUUUAUAUGGGAAUAAAAUGUUCCACGUGUGGGAUUUUGUAUGUACCAUAUGAAUAAGGAUCGGCUAACUCCGUGCCAGCAGCCGCGGUAAUACGGAGGAUCCGAGCGUUAUCCGGAUUUAUUGGGUUUAAAGGGAGCGUAGGUGGAUUGUUAAGUCAGUUGUGAAAGUUUGCGGCUCAACCGUAAAAUUGCAGUUGAAACUGGCAGUCUUGAGUACAGUAGAGGUGGGCGGAAUUCGUGGUGUAGCGGUGAAAUGCUUAGAUAUCACGAAGAACUCCGAUUGCGAAGGCAGUUCACUGGACUGCAACUGACACUGAGGCUCGAAAGUGUGGGUAUCAAACAGGAUUAGAUACCCUUGUAGUC
rnacentral:rRNA from 1 species